GACGAACGCUGGCGGCGUGCUUAACACAUGCAAGUCGAACGGAAAGGCCCUGCUUUUGUGGGGUGCUCGAGUGGCGAACGGGUGAGUAACACGUGAGUAACCUGCCCUUGACUUUGGGAUAACUUCAGGAAACUGGGGCUAAUACCGGAUAGGAGCUCCUGCUGCAUGGUGGGGGUUGGAAAGUUUCGGCGGUUGGGGAUGGACUCGCGGCUUAUCAGCUUGUUGGUGGGGUAGUGGCUUACCAAGGCUUUGACGGGUAGCCGGCCUGAGAGGGUGACCGGCCACAUUGGGACUGAGAUACGGCCCAGACUCCUACGGGAGGCAGCAGUGGGGAAUAUUGCACAAUGGGCGGAAGCCUGAUGCAGCAACGCCGCGUGCGGGAUGACGGCCUUCGGGUUGUAAGCCGCUUUCGCCUGUGACGAAGCGUGAGUGACGGUAAUGGGUAAAGAAGCACCGGCUAACUACGUGCCAGCAGCCGCGGUGAUACGUAGGGUGCGAGCGUUGUCCGGAUUUAUUGGGCGUAAAGGGCUCGUAGGUGGUUGAUCGCGUCGGAAGUGUAAUCUUGGGGCUUAACCCUGAGCGUGCUUUCGAUACGGGUUGACUUGAGGAAGGUAGGGGAGAAUGGAAUUCCUGGUGGAGCGGUGGAAUGCGCAGAUAUCAGGAGGAACACCAGUGGCGAAGGCGGUUCUCUGGGCCUUUCCUGACGCUGAGGAGCGAAAGCGUGGGGAGCGAACAGGCUUAGAUACCCUGGUAGUCCACGCUGUAAACGGUGGGUACUAGGUGUGGGGUCCAUUCCACGGGUUCCGUGCCGUAGCUAACGCUUUAAGUACCCCGCCUGGGGAGUACGGCCGCAAGGCUAAAACUCAAAGGAAUUGACGGGGCCCCGCACAAGCGGCGGAGCAUGCGGAUUAAUUCGAUGCAACGCGUAGAACCUUACCUGGGUUUGACAUGGAUCGGGAGUGCUCAGAGAUGGGUGUGCCUCUUUUGGGGUCGGUUCACAGGUGGUGCAUGGCUGUCGUCAGCUCGUGUCGUGAGAUGUUGGGUUAAGUCCCGCAACGAGCGCAACCCUUGUUCACUGUUGCCAGCACGUUAUGGUGGGGACUCAGUGGAGACCGCCGGGGUCAACUCGGAGGAAGGUGGGGAUGACGUCAAGUCAUCAUGCCCCUUAUGUCCAGGGCUUCACGCAUGCUACAAUGGCUGGUACAGAGAGUGGCGAGCCUGUGAGGGUGAGCGAAUCUCGGAAAGUCGGUCUCAGUUCGGAUUGGGGUCUGCAACUCGACCUCAUGAAGUCGGAGUCGCUAGUAAUCGCAGAUCAGCAACGCUGCGGUGAAUACGUUCCCGGGGCU
rnacentral:rRNA from 1 species